rnacentral:lncRNA from 1 species
CUACUAACGACUCAAAAGAUUUUGUUCCUUAUUUAUGCUUACUAAAAAGCAAUUCUUUCAAUUCUUUAGCUUGUAUGCUGUUUCUUUGUGUUAAUUCAUCAGUCAUUUUUUCCUUUAAGCUGAGCUGGAGUAAUUCAGCUGUGCUUUGUGGAAUUGGGCUUUAUAUAACGGAUAGCUGAGGCUCAUUAAACAGGAUCCUGGAUUGUAUUCUAUCUACCUGCAAACCCAACAUGAUGAUAGCUGUUGCUUUGUUCCCCAUCCCACCUCCCCACGCCCCUGCAAUAAUACUGUGAGGCAUUCUGAAAGGAGCAUUAAUCUUGCCUGGAAGGGCCGACCUGCUGGCAGCCGAUUCAUCAGCAACACUCCCUGGAAGCUGCUGGCCCACACUUUUCGUCAGUGGUGGGUGGCAAGAUUCAGAAAUGUUAAGAGAAGAAUACCUACAGUCUUCAAAUCUGAGCUCCUCUGUAUGCGGACCAUGGGCAGGUAACCUAUUCUAUCUUCAUUUGCAUUGAGUCAGAGAAAUUCCAGUGUUCCAACCAGCUUCUCCUGUGGACCAUUCACAGAUCUUUCAUUUUCUCAGCCAAACUUAAACAUUCCUUCUGUAGAAAUGUUUGGUCCAGUCUGUACAUAUGCAUAUUCAGCUUCACUUCUUUCAGUAGCUGUUUUUUUUUUUUUUUUUGAGGAAAGGUAACUGCCAGAAGAACAAAGGAAAUUUUGAAGGGUAUAUUAUAUGAAGAAUAUUAUUAACAGUACACAGCAGAAAUAUAAUUUAAAUACUUUCUCUGCUCAUGACAACGGAUUGCAUAUUAUGUAUUAUUACCAUUUACCUACUAUAACUGCAAUCCUCAUUUGUUCACAAUGAUGGUAUAUUUAUGGUCAUGCAAUAGCUUGUUUAGGCCAAAUAUAGGUCAUUACAUUUCUGUGUUUCUGUGAAGUACUCAAC